rnacentral:rRNA from 1 species
AUUGAACGCUGGCGGCAGGCUUAACACAUGCAAGUCGAGCGGAGCGAGGGUGCUUGCACCUUAGCUUAGCGGCGGACGGGUGAGUAAUGCUUAGGAAUCUGCCUAUUAGUGGGGGACAACAUUCCGAAAGGAAUGCUAAUACCGCAUACGCCCUACGGGGGAAAGCAGGGGAUCUUCGGACCUUGCGCUAAUAGAUGAGCCUAAGUCGGAUUAGCUAGUUGGUGGGGUAAAGGCCUACCAAGGCGACGAUCUGUAGCGGGUCUGAGAGGAUGAUCCGCCACACUGGGACUGAGACACGGCCCAGACUCCUACGGGAGGAAGCAGUGGGGAAUAUUGGACAAUGGGCGGAAGCCUGAUCCAGCCAUGCCGCGUGUGUGAAGAAGGCCUUUUGGUUGUAAAGCACUUUAAGCGGGGAGGAGGCUACUUAGAUUAAUACUCUGGGAUAGUGGACGUUACUCGCAGAAUAAGCACCGGCUAACUCUGUGCCAGCCGCCGCAGUAACAC